AGGGGGCAAGCGUUGUCCGGAUUUAUUGGGCGUAAAGAGCGUGUAGGCGGCCAGAUAGGUCUGCUGUGAAAACUCGAGGCUCAACCUCGAGCUGUCGGCGGAAACCAUUUGGCUAGAGUCCGGAAGAGGAGAGUGGAAUUCCUGGUGUAGCGGUGAAAUGCGCAGAUAUCAGGAAGAACACCUAUGGCGAAGGCAGCUCUCUGGGACGGUACUGACGCUGAGACGCGAAAGCGUGGGGAGCGAACAGG
rnacentral:rRNA from 1 species